rnacentral:rRNA from 1 species
CUAAGAAUAUUCCGCAAUGGGCGGAAGUCUGACGGAGCGACGCCGCGUGGAUGACGGAGGCCGAAAGGUUGUAAAGUUCUUUUGCUGGGGAAAGAAUAACCGCAGGAGGGAAAUGCCUGUGGGAUGACAAGAACCGGCGAAUAAGCCCCGGCCAACUACGUGCCAGCAGCCGCGGUAACACGUAGGGGGGCCGAGCGUUGUUCGGAAUUACUGGGCGUAAAGGGCAUGUAGGCGGCUUGGAAAGCCUGGCGUGAAAGUCUGCAGCUUAACUGCAGGGGUGCGCUGGGAACUGCUGAGCUUGAGUGACGGAGAGGGAGCUGGAAUUCCUGGUGUAGGGGGUGAAAUCUGUAGAUAUCAGGAAGAACACCGAUGGCGAAGGCAAGCUCCUGGCCGAUGACUGACGCUGAGGUGCGG